AUUUAUUUAUUAUAUGUGAGUACACUGUAGCUGUCUUCAGACACUCCAGAAGAGGGCGUCAGAUCUGGUUAACGAUGCCUGGUGGGUGCUGGAAAUCAAACAGAGCUGUACUCCUAGCUGUGUUCCUAGCUGAUGGCGUCCCUCCUGUCCCAACAAGGUGGUUUCUGACGUCCCUGAUGGGGUAUGGACACACAAUCACAGGUGCUCAUGGAUACUGGAAGAUGAAGGUGGAUCCCCUGGAGCUGAGGUUCUACACAGUAGUGAUGUUCAAGUGGGCUUGGGUUCUCUGCUAGAGCAGUAACUGCUGAGCCACCUUUCCAGCUCCCACUUUUACACAAGUGUUCAUCUACAAAUCCUCUCAAAUGAGUUUUGGAAAAUGAUACUCAAUAUGUGACCCCGAUAGACAGAUGUGGGGCCAUUAAAGGUUCUGAGAUGCCCCAGGA
rnacentral:lncRNA from 1 species